CUGUACUACAGUUGAGUGGCAGAAAAGAUGAGAGAGAAUGAAUGAACUAAAGUGGAAACAAGAAACCCCACCUUUCAUCCCACUAUCCAUUUUUUUUUAUCUCUUUCUCUGCACUACUUGAACAGUAUAUAGGUUGGAUUGUGUGUGAGUGUGGUAAUGGUCUCUUUCAGUUUAAGGGUUGAUUGAUUUUGUUAUAAGGAAUUGUAGAAACAAUUCUGUUGAUAUCACCCUUUAGUUGAAGCUUUGGAUUCAUGACUUUAUGAGAUGGUAAAUCUUUAAAUUAAGUUUAAGAUGCACUUGAUUUGUUUAUAUAAUUUGUUUAUUUAGAUUUUAAACCCUAAGUUGACUUUUUAAUUUGAUUUAAAUUAUGAUAUGAUUGUUAUUUGGCUUACCAUGGUCAUAAUUUAGGGUUAGAAGAUGCAUGUAUAUCUUGAAUUGUUUAUGGUAAUAAAGGGGUUAGGAUUUCUCCUUUGGUGAAGUGAGAAAAUCUCAUAAUUUUGUUCUGAAGGUAGUUUUUAAGAUUUAGGGUUAGGGUUCUUUGUUUGAAUGCUUUUUCAAGUCUUUUUCAAUGAUAUUUGCCUAGAUCUGUUUAAUUUUGAAUUAAAAUUCUGGGUUUGGAUUAAUAUUAUUGAAGAUUAUUAUUAAUUAAUUAUUAG
rnacentral:lncRNA from 1 species